rnacentral:tRNA from 1 species
GGACACAUAGCUCAGCGGGAGAGCACACCCUUCACACGGGUGGGGUCGCAGGUUCAAUCCCUGCUGUGUCCACCA